GACGAACGCUGGCGGCGUGGAUUAGGCAUGCAAGUCGAACGGUAAUCAUCCUUUCGGGGGUGAGAGAGUGGCGAACUGGUGAGUAACACGUAGGUUAUCUACCCUCAAGACGGGGACAACCCAGGGAAACUUGGGCUAAUACCGGAUGUGAGCAACUUUUAGUUGUUUGAAAGGUGGCGUAAGCUGUCGCUUGGGGAUGAGCCUGCGUCCUAUUAGUUAGUUGGUGAGGUAACGGCUCACCUAGGCAAUGAUAGGUAGGCGGCCUUAACGGGUGGUCGCCCACACUGGGAUUGAGAUACGGCCCAGACUCCUACGGGAGGCAGCAGUCGAGAAUAGUCUACAAUGGUCGGAAGACUGAUAGUGCAAACGCCGCGUGAACGAUGAAUCCCUUCGGGGUGUAAAAGUUCUUUUCUAUACGAGCAGUGCUAUAUAUAUGGAUAGUAUAUAUAGAGGGAUAGUAGUAUAGGAAUAAGCAACGGCUAAACUCCGUGCCAGCAGCCGCGGUAAACAGUUA
rnacentral:rRNA from 1 species